AUGGGUGUGCACGGGAUGCAACAGAAGGUGGUGGUCACACACACAGGGUUACAGCCUCGAGCAGUAGCUCAAGAAGCAGAGCAGCGGCUUGGAGUCGAAGGAACCUUGGCCGGAGCAGGAGGCGGGGCACCCAGGCAGCGGCAAAACCAUGGCCAAGGUGGAGCAAUGGACGUAUAUGUUCGGAGCUGCAAGGAGGCCAGCACGAGAGAAGGCCGGCAAGCUGCUCGUUCCCGAGGCCCGUCGUUGGAGGCGCAGCAGAGGAGGAACGCGGGCAGCAAGGCAAUGGCAACAGAGCAACCGCGGGAUGCCGAGGGGAACGACAAGGCAGGUAGGGCUUGA
rnacentral:rRNA from 1 species